AUUGAACGCUGGCGGCAGGCCUAACUCUUGCACGUCGAGCGAGCGGCGGACGGGUGAGUAAUGUCUGGGAACCUGCCUGCAGGAGGGGGAUACCAACUGGAAACGGUAGCUCAUACCGCAUACCAUCAGAUGUGCCCAGAUGGUUUUAGCUAGUAGGUGGGGUGACGGUUCACCUAGGCGACGAACCCUAGCUGGUCUGAGCGGAUGACCAGCCACACUGGAACUGCGACAGGGUACAGACUCCGACGUGAGGCAGAAGCGGGGAAUAGGGCACAAGGGGCGCAAGCCAGAGGCAGCCAGGCCGCGUGUGUGAAGAGGGCCUUGGGGUUGUAAAGCACGUUCAGCGGGGAGGCGUGACCCGCAGAAGAAGCACCGGCUAACUCCGUGCCAGCAGCCGCGGUAAUUC
rnacentral:rRNA from 1 species